rnacentral:lncRNA from 1 species
UGACACCUGCCUGCACACCUGUCUGGUGGAGGUGAGCUGCUGGUCCCAUCUCUUCCCUGUUCUGUGCUUGGCAACAUCACUGGGCAGAUGGAAACUGCCUGCAGUGGAGGUAUUCACACCAAGGAGAGACGCAACCGCUACGUGGAGGGGCUUCUCCCUGGGAACAGCUUCGUUGCCAUUCUUUCCCGGAGGAGCCGGUCCCAAGUGUCCAUCCCAAGGAUCUCUCCUGACACCCUGAGGUACCUGUCACCACUAAAACUGCUCAACAUGUUCAAAUCUGUCCAUUCUAAGGGAUGUCAAAGGUCAUGAAGGCAGGAGUUUUCUCCUAGAAUAUCAGUGCUGAGCCCAGUACACAAUAAGGUCUUAAUCAACAUUGCUUGGGUGGAUGGAUGGUUAGGUAGAUGGAUGGAUAGAUGGAUAAAAAGAUGGAUGGAUGGAUGGGUGGG